rnacentral:sRNA from 1 species
GAAAAAAAGAAACAGUUUUCCAGUGAGGCUUGUCAGGGGGAAGACUGAUCGCCGGCAGGCCAGCUCGGACCAUGAGCACAGUUCCAAGAAUGCAGGGAUGAGGAGGAGCCGGGCUGGGCUGUUGAGUCCAGGCUGAGCCCACACAUCAUGUUCCUCUCUCAGAGCAUCUUGACGGGAGGGAACCAUCUCUGUGGGACCCGCCUCUGCCAUGAAAUUGCCCAUGCCUGGUUUGGCCUAGCCAUCGGGGCCCGAGACUGGACAGAGGAGUGGCUGAGUGAAGGCUUCGCCACUCACUUGGAGGAUGUGUUUUGGGCCACAGCACAGCAGACCCAGUAAAGACAAAACUGGCCACACAAGUGACUCGGGAGCAUCUGUUAUCAAGCAUGGACUUAAUCCGGAGAAGAUCUUCAUGCAGGUGCAUUAUUUAAAGGGCUACUUCCUUCUUUGGUUUCUUGCCAAAAGACUUGGAGAUGAAACCUAUUUUUCAUUUUUAAGAAAAUUUGUGCACACAUUUCAUGGACAGCUGAUUCUUUCCCAGGAUUUCCUUCAAAUGCUACUGGAGAACAUUCCAGAAGAAAAAAGGCUUGAGCUGUCUGUUGAAAACAUCCACCAAGACUGGCUUGAGAGUUCCGGAAUACCAAAGCCGCUGCAGAGGGAGCGUCGCGCCGGGGCGGAGUGCGGGCUCGCGCGGCAAGUGCGCGCCGAGGUCACGAAAUGGAUUCGAGUGAACCGGAGACCCCGAAAACGGAAGCGCAGGGAGAAGGAAGAGGUGUUUGAAAAGCUUCUUCCAGACCAGCUGGUCUUGCUUCUGGAGCAUCUCUUGGAGCAGAAGACUCUGAGCCCCCGAACUCUGCAAAGCCUCCAGAGGACAUACCACCUCCAGGAUCAGGAUGCAGAGGUUCGCCAUCGGUGGUGUGAACUCAUUGUUAAGCACAAGUUCACGAAAGCCUACAAAAGUGUG